rnacentral:rRNA from 1 species
ACUCAAAGGAAUUGACGGGGAUCCGCACAAGCAGUGGAGCAUGUGGUUUAAUUCGAAGCUACGCGAAGAACCUUACCGAGGCUUGACAUCCCGGGGAUCUGAUAGAAAUAUCGGAGUGCCUUCGGGAACCCGGUGACAGGUGUUGCAUGGCCGUCGUCAGCUCGUGUCGUGAGAUGUUGGGUUAAGUCCCGCAACGAGCGCAACCCUUAUUGUUUGUUGUAUUUUUCAAGCAAGACUGCCCCGGCCAACGGGGAGGAAGGUGGGGAUGACGUCAGGUCAGCAUGACCCUUACGCCUCGGGCCACACACGUGCUACAAUGGCCGGCACAACGCGCAUGCCAACCCGCGAGGGGGAGCUAAUCGCAUCAAAACCGGUCCCAGUUCGGAUUGGAGGCUGCAACUCGCCUCCAUGAAGUCGGAAUUGCUAGUAACCGUGGGUCAGCAUACCACGGUGAAUACGUUCCCGGAUCUUGUACACACCGCCCGU